rnacentral:rRNA from 1 species
GUGGGGAAUAUUGGACAAUGGGCGCAAGCCUGAUCCAGCAAUGCCGCGUGGGUGAAGAAGGCCUUCGGGUUGUAAAGCCCUUUUGUACGGAAAGAAAUCCUGGUGGUUAAUACCCGCCGGGGAUGACGGUACCGUAAGAAUAAGCACCGGCUAACUUCGUGCCAGCAGCCGCGGUAAUACGAAGGGUGCAAGCGUUAAUCGGAAUUACUGGGCGUAAAGCGUGCGUAGGUGGUUUCUUAAGUCUGUCGUGAAAGCCCUGGGCUCAACCUGGGAAUGGCGAUGGAUACUGGGAGGCUAGAGUGCGGUAGAGGAUGGCGGAAUUCCCGGUGUAGCGGUGAAAUGCGUAGAGAUCGGGAGGAACAUCUGUGGCGAAGGCGGCCAUCUGGACCAGCACUGACACUGAGGCACGAAAGCGUGGGGAGCAAACAGGAUUAGAAACCCUAGUAGUCC